GAUGAAGAAGUAGCGAAAUGCGAUAAGUAAUGUGAAUUGCAGAAUUCAGUGAAUCAUCGAAUCUUUGAACGCACAUUGCGCCCUCUGGUAUUCCGGGGGGCAUGCCUGUUCGAGCGUCAUUACAACCCUCAAGCUUUGCUUGGUAUUGGACAUUGCCAGUUUCUGGCAGGUCUUAAAAUCAGUGGCGGUGCCAUUUGGCUUCAAGCGUAGUAAUUCUUCUCGCUUUGGAGAUCCAGGUGGUUACUUGCCAAUAACCCCCAAUUUUUUCAGGUUGACCUCGGAUCAGGUAGGGAUACCCGCUGAACUUAAGCAUAUCAAUAAGCGGAGGA
rnacentral:misc_RNA from 1 species